rnacentral:lncRNA from 1 species
CGGGCGCCGUGGGACGGCGGCCGCCGUGCCCAUUCUGCGAAAGGCCCUCACGGCGGCGCCGUUACACGGCGGCGGCCGCCUCUGUGCAGAUCCGACAGUACGAUUUUUCGAUUAAAAACCCCUUUCUAGGGUUUUACUUUAUCAUUCUCGUCUCCAGCAGCCUCCAUAGGCGAUUUUCACCUCUUUCUUAAGGUUUUUAGAGUUCCACAACACUUACCUUCAAUCUUGGAUUCAUUGGAUUGCUAUGUUUUGUAAGAACUCCCUUUGAUUCUCUUUGUUUAUGAAUCCUUUGGUUAUUUAAGUCUUUGUUUCUCUUGUCUUUAAUGAAUAUGAUGAUUGAAGAUUAUUGUUGUUGAUUCUAUAUUCUCUUGGUUUUAUGAAUCUUUUGGU